GAGUUUGCUCCUGGCUCAGAAUGAACGCUGGCGGCGUGCCUAACACAUGCAAGUCGGAUGUGCCGCAAGGUGCAUGGCAGACGGGUGAGUAACGCGUGGGGAACCUACCUCUUUGUGGGGAAUAACGCUCCGAAAGGAGUGGUAAUACCGCAUGAGACCUUCAGCUGGGAUGCUGGAGGUGAAACCUGGGGACCAGCAAUGGCCUGGGGCAAGGAGAGGGUCCUGCGUCUGAUUAGCUAGUUGGCGGGGUAAUGGCCCACCAAGGCAUCGAUCAGUAGCCGGCCUGAGAGGGUGAUCGGCCACACUGGAACUGAGACACGGUCCAGACUCCUACGGGAGGCAGCAGUGGGGAAUUUUGCGCAAUGGGCGAAAGCCUGACGCAGCAACGCCGCGUGGGUGAUGAAGGUCUUCGGAUUGUAAAACCCUGUCGUCAGGGACGAAGGUGCACAUGUUAAUAGCGUGUGUGCUUGACGGUACCUGGAGAGGAAGCCCCGGCUAACUCUGUGCCAGCAGCCGCGGUAAUACAGAGGGGGCAAGCGUUAUUCGGAAUUAUUGGGCGUAAAGGGCGCGUAGGCGGUUUUUUAAGUCAGAUGUGUAAUCCCCGAGCUUAACUUGGGAACUGCAACUGAGACUGGAAGGCUAGAGUACUGGAGAGGGUGGUGGAAUUCCUCGUGUAGCGGUGAAAUGCGUAGAGAUGAGGAGGAACACCAGUGGCGAAGGCGGCCACCUGGACAGUAACUGACGCUGAGGCGCGAAAGUGUGGGUAGCAAACAGGAUUAGAUACCCUGGUAGUCCACGCUGUAAACGAUGAACACUUGGUGUGGAGGGAGUUGACCCCUUCCGUGCCGGAGCUAACGCGUUAAGUGUUCCGCCUGGGGAGUACGGUCGCAAGGCUGAACUCAAAGGAAUUGACGG
rnacentral:rRNA from 1 species